rnacentral:rRNA from 1 species
CCAGCAGCUGCGGUAAUUCCAGCUCCAAUAGCGUAUAUUAAAGUUGUUGCGGUUAGAAAUCUCGUAGUUGGAUUUCUGCUGAGAACGACCGGUCCGCCCUCUGGGUGUGAUUCUGGUUCGACCUGUGCAUUUUUCUGGAGAACGUUUCUGCACUUGAUUGUGUGGAGCGGUAUCCAGGAGUUUUACUUUGAGAAAAUUAGAGUGUUUCAAGCAGGCGUCUGCCUUGAAUACUACAGCAUGGAAUAAUAACAUAUGACUUUGGUUCUAUUUUGUUGGUCUCUAGAACCGAAGUAAUGAUUAAUAGGGAUAGUUGGGGGCAUUCGUAUUUGACUGUCAGAGGUGAAAUUCUUGGAUUUGUCAAAGACGAACUACUGCGAAAGCAUUUGCCAAGGAUGUUUUCAUUAAUCAAGAACGAAAGU